rnacentral:rRNA from 1 species
ACACAUGCAGUCGAGCGGAUGAAGGAGCUUGCUCCUGGAUUCAGCGGCGGACGGGUGAGUAAUGCCUAGGAAUCUGCCUGGUAGUGGGGGACAACGUUUCGAAAGGAACGCUAAUACCGCAUACGUCCUACGGGAGAAAGCAGGGGACCUUCGGGCCUUGCGCUAUCAGAUGAGCCUAGGUCGGAUUAGCUAGUUGGUGAGGUAAUGGCUCACCAAGGCGACGAUCCGUAACUGGUCUGAGAGGAUGAUCAGUCACACUGGAACUGAGACACGGUCCAGACUCCUACGGGAGGCAGCAGUGGGGAAUAUUGGACAAUGGGCGAAAGCCUGAUCCAGCCAUGCCGCGUGUGUGAAGAAGGUCUUCGGAUUGUAAAGCACUUUAAGUUGGGAGGAAGGGUUGUAGAUUAAUACUCUGCAAUUCUGACGUUACCGACAGAAUAAGCACCGGCUAACUCUGUGCCAGCAGCCGCGGUAAUACAGAGGGUGCAAGCGUUAAUCGGAAUUACUGGGCGUAAAGCGCGCGUAGGUGGUUUGUUAAGUUGGAUGUGAGAUCCCCGGGCUCACCCUGGGAACUGCAUCCAAAACUGGCAAGCUAGAGUAUGGUAGAGGGUGGUGGAAUUUCCUGUGUAGCGGUGAAAUGCGUAGAUAUAGGAAGGAACACCAGUGGCGAA